rnacentral:rRNA from 1 species
CUACGGGUGGCUCCAGUGGGGAAUAUUGGGCAAUGGGCGCAAGCCUGACCCAGCAACGCCGCGUGAGGGAAGAAGGUUUUCGGAUUGUAAACCUCUGUCCUUGGGGACGAAGAAGUGACGGUACCCAAGGAGGAAGCUCCGGCUAACUACGUGCCAGCAGCCGCGGUAAUACGUAGGGAGCAAGCGUUGUCCGGAAUUACUGGGCGUAAAGGGUGCGUAGGCGGCAUAUUAAGUCAGGUGUGAAAUACUCGGGCUCAACCCGGGGGCUGCAUUUGAAACUGAUAUGCUUGAGUGUGAGAGAGGAAAGUGGAAUUCCUAGUGUAGCGGUGGAAUGCGUAGAUAUUAGGAGGAACACCAGUGGCGAAGGCGACUUUCUGGCUCAUAACUGACGCUGAGGCACGAAAGCGUGGGGAGCAAACAGGAUUAGAUACCCUCGUAGUC